UACGUAGGGGGCUAGCGUUGUCCGGAUUUAUUGGGCGUAAAGAGCUCGUAGGUGGUUCGGUAAGUCGGAUGUGAAAUCUCCAGGCUCAACCUGGAGGGGUCAUUCGAUACUGAUCGACUCGAAGGCAGGAGAGGGUAUGGAAUUCCCGGUGUAGUGGUGAAAAUGCGUAGAUAUCGGGGAGGAACAUCAGUGGCGAAGGCGGUCUGCUGGGCCGUUGUGACGCUGAGGGCGCGACAGCGUGGGGAGCAAACAGG
rnacentral:rRNA from 1 species